rnacentral:lncRNA from 1 species
AUGCAAAUACAACGAAUUAAAAACUGUCUUUCUUGGUAUGAAAUGAGAUUCCGAAAGAAUAAGAAAGAAGGAAAAGAGAAAGUAAAAAGAGGUUUUAUGUUUUCUUGUGCAAACAAAUAUAUUAGAUAUCUGACGUACAAAUACAUAAGAUUAAAGACUAUUUAGUGUACUCUUCCACUUCUUUCCCGGUUUCAUUCAGAAAUUUG